GCCUUUGUGAUAUAAUGGUAGCACGCUCGGUUCGUAUUCGACAGAUCCAAGUUCGAGUCUCGGCGAGGGCA
rnacentral:tRNA from 1 species